CCUACGGGCGGCAGCAGUGAGGAAUAUUGGUCAAUGGACGAGAGUCUGAACCAGCCAAGUAGCGUGAAGGAUGACUGCCCUAUGGGUUGUAAACUUCUUUUAUAUGGGAAUAAAAUGUUCCACGUGUGGGAUUUUGUAUGUACCAUAUGAAUAAGGAUCGGCUAACUCCGUGCCAGCAGCCGCGGUAAUACGGAGGAUCCGAGCGUUAUCCGGAUUUAUUGGGUUUAAAGGGAGCGUAGGUGGAUUGUUAAGUCAGUUGUGAAAGUUUGCGGCUCAACCGUAGAAUUGCAGUUGAUACUGGCAGUCUAGAGUACAGUAGAGGUGGGCGGAAUGCGUGGUGUAGCGGUGAAAUGCUUAGAUAGCACGAAGAACGCCGAUUGCGAAGGCAGCUCACUGGACUGCAACUGACACUGAGGCACGAAAGUGUGGGUAUCAAACAGGAUUAGAUACCCCAGUAGUC
rnacentral:rRNA from 1 species